rnacentral:tRNA from 1 species
CCGAGUUGCAAGCUCGGAGACGGCCCCAAACACGGCCCGGGGCUUCUCCCGUUU